rnacentral:rRNA from 1 species
UGCAGCAGGCGCGAAACCUUUACACUGCACGACAGUGCGAUAAGGGGACUCCGAGUGCGAGGGCAUACAGUCCUCGCUUUUCUGUACCGUAAGGUGGUACAGGAACAAGUGCUGGGCAAGACCGGUGCCAGCCGCCGCGGUAAUACCGGCAGCACGAGUGAUGGCCGAUUUUAUUGGGCCUAAAGCGUCCGUAGCCGGCCGGACAAGUCCGUUGGGAAAUCGACGCGCUUAACGCGUCGGCGUCCAGCGGAAACUGUCCGGCUUGGGGCCGGAAGAUCCGAGGGGUACGUCCGGGGUAGGAGUGAAAUCCCGUAAUCCUGGACGGACCGCCGGUGGCGAAAGCGCCUUUGAAAGACGGACCCGACGGUGAGGGAGCAAAGCCAUCGUCUCG